ACCGGCUAACUCCGUGCCAGCAGCCGCGGUAAUACGGAGGGUGCAAGCGUUAAUCGGAAUUACUGGGCGUAAAGCGCACGCAGGCGGUCUGUCAAGUCGGAUGUGAAAUCCCCGGGCUCAACCUGGGAACUGCAUUCGAAACUGGCAGGCUAGAGUCUUGUAGAGGGGGGUAGAAUUCCAGGUGUAGCGGUGAAAUGCGUAGAGAUCUGGAGGAAUACCGGUGGCGAAGGCGGCCCC
rnacentral:rRNA from 1 species